rnacentral:lncRNA from 1 species
CUGUAGAAAGCAGCUUCCAUUUUUCUGUCCGUGGAACAACAGCUUUGCAGCAGGUCAGAAUGCUCAGUCCGGCUCACUCAAAAAGAUGACAAGCUCUGUCCAGUUUGGGUGAACAGAAGGCAGAGUGUGGCUGGAGUGGAGCUCAGACGGUAGAGCCCUGCCCGGCAAAGCCCUGGGUUUGAUUUCCCAGUACAGCAUAUGGAGAGCAUGGCGG